rnacentral:rRNA from 1 species
AUCAGGGUUCGAUUCCGGAGAGGGAGCCUGAGAAACGGCUACCACAUCCAAGGAAGGCAGCAGGCGCGCAAAUUACCCAAUCUAGACAGUAGGAGGUGGUGAAGAGAAGUACUGAGUGGUGGCUAAUAGCUACCAACUUGGAAUGAACGUAAUUUAAGCAAUUCGAUGAGUAACUACUGGAGGGCAAGUCCUGGUGCCAGCAGCCGCGGUAAUUCCAGCUCCAGUGGCGUGAUUUAAAGUUGCUGCGUUUAAAACGCUCGUAGUUGGAUCAUGCAGUGGUAUUCAGUAAUUUUAUUAGAUGUAUGCUGACGAUUUUCUCUGAAGAGGUUAUUGGAACUGCAUCAAAUAAAAUGUUAAUGCUGAGUGCCACUAUUUGCACACAAGUGUGGUAUUUGACCUUUAGUGAGUUAAGUAUCAUGUCUUGUGGGGUGUGCCUUGAAUAAAACAGAGUGCUUAAAGCAGGCGAACGCUUGAAUGUUAUAGCAUGGAACGAACAAACGUGUAUUUGUGUAUGUUUAGUGAUAAUUUAGGGAAACCUAUGUUGUUACUGACGUAUGCAGCACCCACCAAAAUACGGAUGUUGGUUUUCGUAUCAGGUGAUGAUUAACAGGAGCGGUUGGGGGCAUUGGUAUUUGGCCGCGAGAGGUGAAAUUCUUGGACCGGCCAAGGACUAACAGAUGCGAAGGCGUUUGUCUAGACCGUUUCCAUUAAUCAAGAACGAAAGUGGGAGGUUCGAAGACGAUCAGAUACCGUCCUAGUUCCCACCUUAAACUAUGCCGACCUGGGAUCAGUUUAGUGAUUUACAAGCACUAAAUUGGUCCCCCUGGGAAACCUCAAGUUUUUCGGUUACGGGGAGAGUAUGGUCGCAAGUCUGAAACUUAAAGGAAUUGACGGAAGGGCACCACCAGGGGUGGAGCCUGCGGCUUAAUUUGACUCAACACGGGGAAACUUACCUGGUCCGGACAUCGAAAGGAUAGACAGACUGAUAGAUCUUUCUUGAUGCGGUGAGUGGUGGUGCAUGGCCGUUCUUAGUUCGUGGAGUGAUCUGUCAGGUUGAUUCCGGUAACGAACGAGACCACCUUCUCCAUUUAAGAUGCGGUAGCAGAAGGUCAGACCCUUGCGGUUUCGGUCGUAAGAGUUUGAUUUUUGCAGAUAAGGUUGUAGAAUUACAAAGAUGAGAUGGGGGUGGUAAAACAUCAACAUUAAGUCUGAGAAAGGAUGCAAUUUUUCCUACCGUUAUGCAGUGUUGGGCAAUACCUACAUGCUGCCUUAUGGAGAGACAACAGGUAUAAAAAAGCCUGAGGAAGUGUGGCUAUAACAGGUCAGUGAUGCCC